rnacentral:lncRNA from 1 species
AUGUCCUGCCCGCCGCGAGAGGUGGGCGCUGGCCCCGCCCCGCAGGGCACGGUGGCGGCAGCAGCGGCGGGCGGCCCUGGGCUGCAAGAUCUGCUUGGGGGCGGACACGCUGGCAGGGCUCAUGGGCAUGUAGUCGUCGCUCCUGCAGCUGCCGCUCCCACUGCCCGCGAGGGCCGCGCCAGGCGUCAUGGGCAUGUAGCCGUCGUCUGCACCCAGGUUGCUGCUGGAGCUCCUGUGGGAGCCGAUCUCGAUAUCUCCGUAGUCCUCUGGGUAGGGGUGGUAGGCCACCUUGGGAGAGGACGCGGGGCAGGACGGGCAGAGGCGGCCUGCGCUGCCGGAGAAGGUGGCCCGCAUCAGGGUGUACUCAUCCAGCGAGGCGGAGGAGGGCUGGGGCACCGGCCGCUGCCGGGCCGGCGUGGUCAGGGAGUAGGUCCUCUUGCGCAGCCCUCGGUCCAGGUCCUGGGCCACGUCUCCCGAGACCCUGCGGUAGGGGCGGCCACAGUGGCUCAGGGGCCUGUCCAUGGUCAUGUACCCGUAGAACUCACCGCCGCCGCUGCCGUCUCGCGCAGGGGGCGUUUCCGCGAUGGACUCGGGCGUGUUGCUCCGGUGGCUGCAGAAGGCGCGCAGGUCGCCGGGGCUGGAGCCGUACUCGUCCAGGGACAUGAAGCCGGGGUCGCUGGGGGAACCCGAGGCGGAGGCGCUGCCGCUGGAGGGCCGCUGGCCGGGGCCGUGGUGCAGUGGGUGCGGCAGGGGCGGGUGCGGGCCCGGCGGCGGCGGGUAGGAGCCCGAGCCGUGGCCGCUGCUGGACGACAGGGAGCCGGGGCUGGUGGCGGCGGGCGGCGAGUGCGCCACAGGCAUGGACAUGGAGCGGCUGUGCUGCAGCGCGCCCCCUGCCGGCAGCAGCGCCACCUUGCUCCCGCGGCCGCCGCAGCCGCCGCUCAGGGUGUGCGAGCGGCUCAGGGGCGCGCACCGGCCCGGGGCUCAGGGGCUCCCAGCCACCGACACUGGCCUGGCGCCCGCGGCCGCUGCCCCCGCCGCCGCGCCGCCGUCGCCCUCGCUGGCGGUGCGCACCCGGCACGAGCUGCACUUGGCCGCCGGCGGUGGCGGCCAGGCUGUCGGUGCGCGAACGGCGCACCAAGCCCGUCUGGCUGGGGGUAG